ACAAGCACAGCAUGUUCUCAUUCGUAAGUGGGAAUUGAACAAUGAUAACACAUGAACACAGGUAUUUGAGAUGAUCCUGAUGUACAGACAGUAGACCUGGUGAGUUCCAGCAGUAGUUUGAAAACUUUAACCUGCAUUGGAAUAAGCUGGAGGGCUUGUUUAAACAGACUGCUGAGGCUUCAACCCUAGACGUUCUGAUUCAAAUAAAUAACUUUAUUUGGACUGAGAGCUGGAGAAUAAGAAUAGGACCUGAGACAUCGUAUUGGGCUAAGAAGGAGAGAAGACGUUCCAAAAUGGCAGUCAAAGCACAUCAACGAAAUGGACUCUACUUCCCAGCAACCUUGCAGUUAGUGCAACCAACAAAAAGCCUGCUGGGGAAUGUAUUUGCCACUAAAUUCCCCAAGUAUGCCAACAUUACAAAAACGAGAGAUUUUUCAUUAUAAUUAAAUUUUUGCAAACCUCCCCAAUCAUAAGUAUUAUAAGAGUAAGUAAAAAAAUCACAUUUUACACAUCUCACACUUGUCUUCAACAUUUAGUUCAUCAUCUUCAAAAAAUAGCUUCCCUGCUAAACUCAUUAGCUAUAUGAUCUAUCCAAGCAGCAGGAAGAUGGCCAUGCCAUGGCAAUCCUCUUUCCAUUCUCCCUAGCCACUCAGGGCUGAACAGCAGGGUGAGGCUCAGCUGGGGUUAGAGGUGGGGAGCACAGGGAUUACUUUCUC
ensembl:lncRNA